GGGGUUGUGGCUCAAUGAUAGAGCGCUUGCCUAGCAUGUGUGAGGCACUGGGUUCAAUUCUCAGCACCA
rnacentral:tRNA from 1 species